CCUACGGGUGGCAGCAGUAGGGAAUAUUGCUCAAUGGGGGAAACCCUGAAGCAGCAACGCCGCGUGGAGGAUGAAGGUUUUCGGAUUGUAAACUCCUUUUGUUAGAGAAGAUAAUGACGGUAUCUAACGAAUAAGCACCGGCUAACUCCGUGCCAGCAGCCGCGGUAAUACGGAGGGUGCAAGCGUUACUCGGAAUCACUGGGCGUAAAGAGCGCGUAGGCGGGAUAGCAAGUCAGAUGUGAAAUCCUAUGGCUUAACCAUAGAACUGCAAUUGAAACUGGUAUUCUAGAGUAAGGGAGGGGUAGGGGGAAUUCGUGGGGGAGGGGUAAAAUCCGUAGAGAUCAAGAAGAA
rnacentral:rRNA from 1 species